rnacentral:lncRNA from 1 species
AUGUGCAGUGGGGGGUGGUGGUCGGGGUCACGCCGGACCCCAGGAGGAAAGCGAACGUGCAGGUUGGGAGGAGGGAGGUGGGGGUCACGCCAGACCCCAGGAGGAAAGCGAACGUGCAGGUUGGGAGGAGGGAGGAGGGGGUCACGCCGGACCCCACGAGGACACAGAACGUGCAGGUUAGGUGGAGGGAGGAGGGGGUCACGCCGGACCCCAGGAGGAAAGCGAACGUGCAGGUUGGGAGGAGGGAGGUGGGGGUCACGCCAGACCCCAGGAGGAAAGCGAACGUGCAGGUUGGGAGGAGGGAGGUGGGGGUCACGCCAGACCCCAGGAGGAAAGCGAACGUGCAGGUUAGGAGGAGGGAGGAGGGGGUCACGCCGGACCCCACGAGGACACAGAACGUGCAGGUUAGAAGGAGAGAGGUGGGGGUCACGCCAGACCCCAGGAGGAAAGCGAACGUGCAGGUUAGGAGGAGGGAGGAGGGGGUCACGCCAGACCCCACGAGGACACAGAACGUGCAGGUUAGGAGGAGGGAGGAGGGGGUCACGCCGGACCCCAGGAGGAAAGCGAACGUGCAGGUUGGGAGGAGGGAGGUGGGGGUCACGCCAGACCCCAGGAGGAAAGCGAACGUGCAGGUUAGGAGGAGGGAGGAGGGGGUCACGCCGGACCCCACGAGGACACAGAACGUGCAGGUUAGAAGGAGAGAGGUGGGGGUCACGCCAGACCCCAGGAGGAAAGCGAACGUGCAGGUUAGGAGGAGGGAGGAGGGGGUCACGCCAGACCCCACGAGGACACAGAACGUGCAGGUUAGGAGGAGGGAGGAGGGGGUCACGCCGGACCCCAGGAGGAAAGCGAACGUGCAGGUUGGGAGGAGGGAGGUGGGGGUCACGCCGGACCCCAGGAGGAAAGCGAACGUGCAGGUUGGGAGGAGGGAGGUGGGGGUCACGCCAGACCCCAGGAGGAAAGCGAACGUGCAGGUUAGGAGGAGGGAGGAGGGGGUCACGCCAGACCCCACGAGGACACAGAACGUGCAGGUUAGGAGGAGGGAGGAGGGGGUCACGCCGGACCCCAGGAGGAAAGCGAACGUGCAGGUUGGGAGGAGGGAGGUGGGGGUCACGCCAGACCCCAGGAGGAAAGCGAACGUGCAGGUUAGGAGGAGGGAGGAGGGGGUCACGCCAGACCCCACGAGGACACAGAACGUGCAGGUUAGGAGGAGGGAGGAGGGGGUCACGCCGGACCCCAGGAGGAAAGCGAACGUGCAGGUUGGGAGGAGUGAGGUGGGGGUCACGCCGGACCCCACGAGGACACAGAAAGUGCAGGUUAGGAGGAGAGAGGUGGGGGUCACGCCGGACCCCACGAGGACACAGAAAGUGCAGGUUAGGAGGAGGGAGGUGGGGGUCACGCAAGACCCCACGAGUGCACAGAAAGUGCAGGUUAGGAGGAGGUAGCUGGGGGUCACGCCGGACCCCACGAGGACACAGAAAGUGCAGGUUAGGAGGAGAGAGGUGGGGGUCACGCCGGACCCCAGGAGGAAAGCGAACGUGCAGGUUAGGAGGAGGGAGGUGGGGGUCACGCCGGACCCCACGAGGACACAGAAAGUGCAGGUUAGGAGGAGAGAGGGGGGGUCACGCUCGACCCCACGAGGACACAGAAAGUGCAGGUUAG